rnacentral:rRNA from 1 species
GACUCUCAGCAACGGAUAUCUCGGCUCUCGCAUCAAUGAAGAACGUAGCGAAAUGCGAUACCUGGUGUGAAUUGCAGAAUCCCGCGAACCAUCGAGUCUUUGAAUGCAAGUUGCGCCCGAGGCCACUCGGCCGAGGGCACGCCUGCCUGGGCGUCA